GACGUAGGAGGCGAGCGUUAUCCGGAUUCACUGGACGUAAAGCGCAUGUAGGCGGAUGUCUAAGUCGUGUGUUAAAGCCCCUGGCUCAACUGGGGGAGGUCAUGCGAGACUGGAUGACUUGAGGGCAACAGAGGCACGUGGAACUCCCGGUGUAGCGGUGGAAUGCGUAGAGAUCGGGAAGAACACCCGUGGCGAAGGCGGCGUGCUGGGUUGCAACUGACGCUGAGAUGCGAAAGUGUGGGGAGCAAACGGG
rnacentral:rRNA from 1 species